rnacentral:rRNA from 1 species
UACAGAGGUCUCAAGCGUUGUUCGGAUUCAUUGGGCGUAAAGGGUGCGUAGGUGGCGUGGUAAGUCGGAUGUGAAAUCCCGGGGCUCAACCCCGGAACUGCAUUCGAUACUGCCUUGCUAGAGUACUGGAGAGGAGAUUGGAAUUUACGGUGUAGCAGUGAAAUGCGUAGAUAUCGUAAGGAAGACCAGUGGCGAAGGCGGAUCUCUGGACAGUUACUGACACUGAGACGCGAAAGCGUGGGGAGCGAACAGG